GCAGCCUCGUGCCGCCGUUAGCCAUAGGAGCCGCCCCACUGCGCCCUUUGCCGCCUGCCGCGGCCGCGCCCUUUGCUGCCGCCUCGCGCCGCCGAAGCCACGGGAUUCGUGGGUCGCCGCCUCCCCAUUGCUAGAGGUGCCGCCGGCUGUCCCAUCAAUCAAGGGGAUGAGCACGACAUGGCUUCAGACGAGGGCUGCUAAAUCGGCGCUGAGCCACUCAAUGAUCUCCUGCUGGAAACAGAGAGAAGAGGACGUGGAGAAGAAUAGGACGGAUCUGAUCCCGCGGCCGCGCAAUGAGCUUUCAGGAUGAGAGCGGCGGGGAGGAGGGCGGUGGGGGGCUGAUCGGCGUCGGACUUGCGAAAGCCUUUCCAACACACGGGGAUGUCCCCAAUGGGUGGGGACACGGUGGCCCGCCUCGGCUCCUCCGCCUACAUGCUCUGCGACAGCUCCAUCUCCACCUUGCUCUGCACCUUCGUUGUCGCGCUUGGCCCCAUCCAGUUCAGCUUCGCGUCCAGUUACUCCUUGCCCACUCAUCGCCUUUGCCAUUGGGCAAAUCGCCGAGUUCAUCGGUCCUAAAGGGGUGAUAUUUGAAUUCCCUUUGACCCAUGUUUGGUCCUAUAUUCGUUCAAUUUUACUGUUAAAUGUACGGAGUAUUAGUUCAUGGAUCUGCUCGUGGUUGAUUCUCUGAUGGAAUUACAUUCAGUCGUGCACUCAUUGACUGACGAUGCUCUCUUUUCUAUUGGUCCUGCAGUCUCUCAUGAUCGCCGCAGUUCCCAAACAUCAUUGGGUGGCUUGCAAUAUCAUUUGCAAAUGACUCCGUAUUUUUGUUCAUGGGCCGAUUGUUGGAAGGGUUUGGGAUUGGUGUGAUUCCUACACAGUCUGUAUCCCUAUUCUCCUAACCUUGUACAAAUUCACUCCAGAGUUCAAACAUGAAUGAUAAUGCGUUUGCUUUCUUACUGUUGUGUUGUUGCUAUGGCCUAUGAUAUGAUUGUUUCCCCUAGCAUAAUCAUAAUCCUACAAUAUUUCUAUCUGUUCGGUCUUUGUAUAGAAAAGAACAAGAACACCAAAAUAAUAUCUAGACCAAAGGAACUUAAUUAGCCUAUAAGAAGAACUAAAAAUGCCGACAUUCUGUAAUUUGAGAAAUAUCAUAUAUUACAGCGGUCGGGGUGCAGAUAAGUGUGGUUAGAAGUUCGAACAACGAGAUCCAGAUCAAGUGCCUGAUGCCACGCUUCUCCCUGUGAGAUUUAUCUAUUUUUCCUUUAUAGAUGAUGCAUAUAUUUGUAAUCCUCCAUAGACUUUGCCAAAUGUUAGCAUGGUUCCUUUAUGUUAGUUCUUCCUGUACUUGCUGAGGUGAAGGGAUUAUGAUUUACAAAAUGACACUUAUGCCAAGCAUUUAGGAAAGAAUCAGCUUGUAUGAAAUUAUUAGCAUGCACUACUUCUCAAGAAAAUAUUAGUUAGCAAAUGUGGUAUGAUGUGAUAGUCCUCCUGCCAAGCGCCCUCUUCAGAAAAGAGAAAAUAUUCUAUGAUGACAUGCAAUGUGAUUAGUCAUGAAUGGUACAAGGUUCCUAAAUUGACAUGAUAGCGUGUUUAAUUUUUCUUUAGUUGAUCAUGUUACUUAUUGGCGAAUGCUUAAUUUGGACAUAGGUUCCUCGUUUCCUCACUUAUGUUAUGUGAAAAUGUGAGGGAAUCACUGGGGAACCGCCAUUGGGGAUGCGGGAAUCACAUGCCGCCGCCACCUGGACGCGCUAGCCACUGCUACCACAGGGGACACGGGCGCACGUGGCAGCCGCUGCUGCCACAGGAGCCACGGGCUCAAGUGGAAGUCGUCAUUGCCUCAGGUCCUUCGAUACAUACGUACAUAUGCUUCAAUCUACUUUUAGGAUGCUUUUUUGGCAUUUGUGGUUGAUUCAGGGUGCUGGGGGGGGGGGGGGGGACUCUGUUUGUCAGGAGAAUCUACAGAAACAUCAAAUGUGUAAAUUGCUGCUCAGAUUCUAGGCUAUUAGCAUAGUAAUAUGAUGCUCUCAGGUUCUCAGGCAAUACUCGAGUGUGUAACUCAACUUGUCAGUUUAGUUGGAGUCCAUGUUAGCCACUUUGUAGUGUGUUCCUCAAUUCCGGUGAAAUAUUUAUUUGCCUGCUCUGCAAUUUUUCUUACCUCCCAGGUCAAUUUUUUGUUCUUACCUCUAAACUCUUCUUUAGAUUGAUUUGGCUAUUUCCCAUCCAUUAUAUGAUAGAUAGAUUGAUGGUUCGCAGACCCAUGACAACCCCUUGGAAUGCCUAUCCUCUCUAUAUUUACAUGCUUAUAGACUUGCAGAAACACGGGCUGGUUGUCUCUGUUUAUCUUUAUACUUAACUUAUAGACUAAAACACAGCUGUGAAGAACAAUGGGUCAUUUUGUCAUGAAGCAUGAGAAUGAUAAUACCACCUCAAGUGGGGAUAACGCAAAAAAAAAGAGGAGUUGUGAUUACUCAAUCUAGACAAAUCUACUCUUCUGUCAGUUACGCAUCUGUAAAAUGAAGAUGAGUGUAGGUGGUCAUUGUACAUCUUAAGGGCCUUUACUGGUUGUAUUUUUCACUCUUAUGUCGGUAAAAUCAAGAUGAGUGUAGGUAGUCAUUGUAUAUCUGAAGGGUCUUUACUGGUUGUAUUCUUUCUUUUUUUCAAUUCACAUGAUCAGUGCUACCUCUUAUGUGUAUUGCUAGGCUACAGUUUGGCUUUUCUAUUUACUGCUACAGUUGGGUUCUAUCUCAAACUACAAAAAACAUGUGUAUCAUGCACAUGAUGGUUGAUGCAAGCCCAUGCUUCUCACAGCUUCAAUUGAAGUUUUUGUGCUACUCUAUUCUUAGUUAUAUUUCUUAUCGAUGUGAGAUUUCAUUACUAGACAUUUACCUAUUAUGCAGUUCUUCAGUGACAGCUGAAUUAGCUGAAGGCGACAAUGAGCAUCAAUUUGUUUUCCUUAGAUGAAGCAUUCUACAUUAAAUUGUAACUUCUUCAGUACAGGUUGCAUGCAAUUUUUUAAUGGAAAUAAAGUUAUAUUGCAAGAACUGGAACUGAAGGAAGACCCAAACUCUGAGCACCACAUUCUCUAAGGGCCCUUCUAUUUGAAAUACACUUAUGCAGAAGUAUGCCCUUAUUGCUUUUGUAAUGUAUGUGACUUCUUAUUUGAAAUACACUUAUGCAGAAGUAUGACUUCAGUGCUAUUGUACUAUAUGUGACUGACAUCUAGAUGCACUUCUGAAGAUCAUUUGUAUGUCUUGCAUGUGGCAUAAUUGUAUGUGUGACCGACUUCAUUUUUAUACGUGCGUUGCACGUGCACGCUUAUUAG